AGAGUUUGAUUAUGGCUCAGGAUGAACGCUAGCUACAGGCUUAACACAUGCAAGUCGCGGGGCAGCAUGAAGGAUGCUUGCAUUCUUUGAUGGCGACCGGCGCACGGGUGAGUAACGCGUAUCCAACCUGCCUGUUACCACGGCACAGCCCGUCGAAAGGCGGAUUAAUGCCGUAUGUGGUCCUUUGCGGGCAUCUAAUUAGGACUAAAGGUUUAGCGGUAACAGAUGGGGAUGCGUCCGAUUAGCUAGACGGCGGGGUAACGGCCCACCGUGGCUACGAUCGGUAGGGGUUCUGAGAGGAAGGUCCCCCACACUGGAACUGAGACACGGUCCAG
rnacentral:rRNA from 1 species